UGGGGAAUCUUGGGCAAUGGGCGCAAGCCUGACCCAGCCACGCCGCGUGGAGGAAGACACCCCUAUGGGGCGUAAACUCCUUUUAUAUGAGAAGAAGGUCUCGUUCUUCGAGAUUUGACGGUAUCAUAUGAAUAAGCACCGGCUAACUCCGUGCCAGCAGCCGCGGUAAUACGGAGGGUGCAAGCGUUGUCCGGAUUCACUGGGUGUAAAGGGUGUGUAGGCGGGACAGUAAGUCAGAGGUGAAAGCCCACGGCUUAACCGUGGAACUGCCUUUGAUACUGCUGUUCUUGAGUCUCGGAGAGGUCGCCGGAAUUCGUGGUGUAGCGGUGAAAUGCGUAGAUAUCACGAGGAACACCAGAGGCGUAGGCGGGCGACUGGACGAGUACUGACGCUGAGGCACGAAAGCGUGGGGAGCAAACAGGAUUAGAUACCCCCGUAGUCC
rnacentral:rRNA from 1 species